rnacentral:rRNA from 1 species
CGCCCGGGUGAGUAACACGUAUGCAACCUGCCUGCCACAGCCGGAUAAUCGGGAGAAAUUCCGUCUAAUACGGCAUAAUGCAUCGACGGGACAUCCUGUUGGUGCCAAAGGUUAAUUCCGGUGGCGGAUGGGCAUGCGUCGCAUUAGUUAGUUGGCGGUGUAACGGACCACCAAGACGACGAUGCGUAGGGGUUCUGAGAGGAAGGUCCCCCACACUGGUACUGAGAUACGGUCCAAACUCCUACGGAAGGCAGCAG